rnacentral:rRNA from 1 species
UUGAAAGGGAAACGAUUGAAGUCAGUCGUACCUGCGGGUAAUCAGCCUUUUGGGCAUGAUUCUGUGGAGCGUGAGGAGUUAAACGCCUUCAUGCCUGCAUAUUCGUGUACUUUGGGUGUACUUGCCUGUGUGGUUAGUUAACAUCAAUUUUGGUUAUCAUAAAAUGGUUGGAGGAAUGUAGCUUCGAUUUCGAUUGAAGUGUUAUAGCCUUCGGCAGAUGUGAUGAUCGGGAUUGAGGAUUGCGACGGAUACCCUUCGGGGCUACCUGUCUGGUCUCUGAUCGUUGCUUUGGUGCCGAAAGCGUGCUUACGGUUAUCAAAGUCGAUGGUCAAUAGGUUAGAACGUGAUUACAUUCGUUAAGGAUGUUGACGUA